AUGAACGCUAGCGGCAGGCUUAACACAUGCAAGUCGAGGGGCAGCAUGAUGAAACUUUCGGGUUUCAUUGAUGGCGACCGGCGCAAGGGUGCGUAACGCGUGAGCAACUUGCCCUUAUCAGGGGGAUAACCGGUGGAAACGCCGACUAAUACCCCAUGGCAUUGAGUUGAGGCAUCUCUACUCAAUUAAAGAAAUUCGGAUAAGGAUAGGCUCGCGUGACAUUAGCUAGACGGCGGGGUAACGGCCCACCGUGGCUACGAUGUCUAGGGGUUCUGAGAGGAAGGUCCCCCACACUGGAACUGAGACACGGUCCAGACUCCUACGGGAGGCAGCAGUGAGGAAUAUUGGUCAAUGGUCUGACGACUGAACCAGCCAUGCCGCGUGAAGGUCACGGCCCUAUGGGUCUUAAACUUCUUUUGCGAGGGAGCAAUAAGGUCUACGUGUAGUCCGAUGAGAGUACCUCGCGAAUAAGCAUCGGCUAACUCCGUG
rnacentral:rRNA from 1 species